GUUGAAAUGGACCAAUAAAGAUAUUAGAUUCGUUAGUGAUUGCAUGUAAACUUGAGAAUUGAGAAAUAAAUAAUUUGACCUAACGAGGAUGGCACAUUUUAUGUCUUGUGUUUAAUUACGAUAUUUGGAUGAGGAGCAAUCAACUCACAGUAAAUAAUGGUCACACUAAGUUUUAAAUUGUAUCUUUGAGUAAAUGAUAAGUGGUCAUUAGACACAAGACAAGAUGAUUAAUUUCAUAGUAAGAAAGCAAAUCUUUCGGUCAACACAUUGUCAACAAAACACAUCAUUGUGCCAAGCAUUUCAAGUCAUCAUCUGGACUUGAAGAUCAUCUUCACGGUCAGGUGCAUUCGUGCCUAAUUUAAAUAUAUGACCAAGAAAUCAUUUGGGUAAUUGAUAUAUUCAAAUAUCAAAGCAAUCAUUUGGAUUCAAUGUUGAAGAUCAAGCGCCUAGAUCUGACUCUGUUUAGUAGUGUCAAGAUCUUCAAGUACAAAUAAGUUAUUCUCUCAAGCUCUUCAAUCACAAAAGUCACUUCAAAGACAAAGAGAUACAAUAGAUACUUUUACUUAUUAUGUGUAUCCUUAUAACAGUUAUAUCUCUUAUCGUACUCUUUUGUUUUUGUUGUUGAUGUUGCUUUCAUUGUUGGGUCCGAAAUCACCAUAUCCUUCAACGUGAAGACCAAUAACCAGUGAGUAUUCAAUACGCAUCAUUGAUGACAAUUUUCUAACAAGUGUACUAGAGUGUCGACAAGUAGUAAAAUUUAUAAAAUUCAUCUUCACACGGAUUGCGUGAUUUCAACUUAACUACUAUGAUGAUGGUUUAUGAUAUAUGUAAUAAAGGGUGUUGUACUUGGCAAGUAGUUUGGUUUUAUUUACUUAAGAGAUGGAUUAAAAGGCGACUAGGUCACAUCUAUUCCCGUAUCUAAAUUGUUUGGGUAAUUACUCAAUUUUAAGAUAUUUGAUCAAAAUAGUUAAGCCAAUGUCUUGGUCACUAACACUCUUCAAUUAUUGCUGCUCCCUAAUGUCUUAGAUGAGCCCAUAACUCUUGAAGGUUUAAGAACACCAAAUUAUUAU
rnacentral:lncRNA from 1 species